rnacentral:rRNA from 1 species
UACAGAGGGUGCAAGCGUUGUUCGGAAUUAUUGGGCGUAAAGCGCGUGUAGGCGGCUUUGCAAGUCGGGUGUGAAAGCCCUCAGCUCAACUGAGGAAGUGCGCCCGAAACUGCGAGCGUUGAGUACCGGAGAGGAUGGCGGAAUUCCCCAAGUAGAGGUGAAAUUCGUAGAUAUGGGGAGGAACACCGGUGGCGAAGGCGGCCAUCUGGACGGAUACUGACGCUGAGACGCGAAAGCGUGGGUAGCAAACAGG